rnacentral:rRNA from 1 species
UUUUUUUAUAAAAGUAAUUUAUUUAUUUAAGGUUUAAGUAUUUAGUAAAAAUUAAUUUAUAGAUUUAUAGUUUAAUAGUAUUGUAAAAGAAUUAAUUAAGUUUAAAAAAGAAUAUUUUUAGUACCUUUUGUAUCAGGGUUAAUUAAAAUUUUUAAUUUUUUUUUGAUUUCUCAAAAUUUAUAGAGUUAAUUUUAUUAUUAAUUUAUUGUGUUAUAAAUAUUUAUAAAAUAAUAUUAGUUUUGAAAUUUAAUUCGUUAUAUUAUAUUUAGUUAUUUAAGAUUUAAAUUUAAUUUAAAAUUUUAAAAGUUAUUUUGAUUUUAUAUAUUAAUAUUUUAAAUUUAAAUUAUUUUAGGGAUAAGCUUAAAAUUUUUAUAUAAUAAUUUAUUUAUUUUAAUAAUUGAUAGGAAUAGAAAUUUUUAUUUUAAGUUUGUAAAAAUUUAUUAUUUAUUUAUUUUUAAUUUAUUAUAAAUUUAUUUAUUUUUUUUAUUAAAUUUUAUUAAUUAAUAUUUAAUUUUUAGUAAUAAUGAUUAAAUUAGUAUAAUUUAUAUUUAUGAAUUAUGAAUUCGGCAAAAAUUAUUUUCAUCUGUUUAACAAAAACAUUGUAUUAAGUUUAAUUUAAUAUAGGAUCUGCUCAAUGAUUUAUUAAAUAGCUGCAGUAUUUUGACUGUGCAAAGGUAGCAUAAUAAUUAGUCUUUUAAUUGAGGACUUGUAUGAAAGAUUUGAUGAGAAAUAGACUUUAUUAUUUAUAUAAUUAAAAUUUUAUUUUUAAGUAAAAAAGCUUAAAUUAUUUAAAGGGACGAUAAGACCCUAUAAAACUUUAUAAAUAUUAAUUUUAAUUUUUUUGGAUUUAUAAAUAUUUUAAUUUUAUUAUUUAUUUUAUUGGGGUGAUAAAAAAAAUUAUUAAACUUUUUUUAAAAUUUUACAUUAUUUAAUGAAUAUUUGAAUUAAAAUUUUUAAUUAUAGGAGAAAGUUACUUUCGGGAUAACAGCGUAAUUAAUUUCAAAAGUUCAAAUUUAAAAAUUACCUCGCGACCUCGAUGUGGAAUUUAGAUAAUUCUUAGGUCCCAAUUUUAAAUUAUAAGGCCUG